CUGUGGCCGGCACGCGGACCCGGGCGCGGACCGCCGGAAUCGGUCCGGCAGGAUGCGGCCGGCCUCGGCGAGGUCGGUGUCCUCGAUCCCGGA
rnacentral:tRNA from 1 species